UGAACAUGUCGGCAGACGGGACCAAGUUAUUAUUCGAGGGCUUUCUGCAGAAAAGAAAGGACACUCUGAAGAUAAUGUGGGUCACUUAUUGGUUCAGACUCCAGAACACCACCUUGUUCUUCUACACUAAGAAGAACGGCAGUGCUUUGCACCUGAGAGGAUAUUACUACAUCUACACAGUGCAGUCAGUGAGAGAAGUCCAGAAAGCUGACAGACAGCGCUUCAUGUUUGAAAUCAUCAUGACGAGUGGAAAAAGAAAAGUGUUGGCAGCAGAGACAGCAGCUCUGAGGAAGGAAUGGGUCAGGACACCUCUGGAGAGCCAUGAACCUGUCCACCAGCAGCUCAGUCUCUCACCUCCAGAUGUGCGAGCAGCAGCCAGACAGAAGACACAGCAGCAGGACACCUGUCAGUGUGAUCGAGCUGCUUCCUGCUCGGCCUCUUUCUGCUCCUCCACCUUCAGACCACCUCCAGCCUGAAGCCAGAAGCAUCAAACCUGCCGUGGACCAGCCUGAGGAGCAGAGCGGAGAGGAGGAGGCCAUCUACCAGAACACACUGUUGGCCUGCAGCUACCAGGACCACAGCGAUGAUCCUCAGAGGUGCAGUGAGCUGAACGAUGCAGAGAGCAGUCUAGAAGGAGACUAUGACGUUUUACCCGUUAGAAACAAAAUAUGUGAGGCGAGCAUUUCAGCAGAGAUGGAUGAGAACAUCUAUGACUUCCCUCAGUCCUACAGGACUUCAGCUCAAUGUCAGGACCUCACAGAGAGCAUCUAUGACGUACCGAGCUCUCUUCUGAGGAAGAUGCCUGAAGACAAAACAGAUGAGCAGCUGGAGGAAGAAUCGAGCUGGAAGGUGUCGUUUGAGGACAGCAGCAGCACAUUUAGCUCACAAUGCAUUUAACUCUUCCAUUCUUUGUACACAAGUUUCCGCUUAAUGCCUCCGAGUUUCAGGUUCGAGUCAGACAAACUGUAUUUAUGCAACAGAUACAACAAGUAAAUAACUCUUUUUUUGGACGUUGUUCAGCUUUUCUGCGUUUGACAACAAGCAAAACCACGACAGAGAGAUUCGACUGUGGGGUUUAUUUCAGCUUAUGUGAUCAUUUUUAACUAUGGAGGACACGCUGUACAGAAGAGUCUACAGAGAAGCACUGUGGCUCACAAUAACUUUCCAUGCCACAAGGUUCACUGCUGAAACGUUCACACCAUAAACAUCCAUAUUGCUGUUUCACACACUUUGGAUUUAAGGGGAAUGAUCUGAGCUUCAACCCUUCAUGGGUUUUAUGGAACAUAAAAAAAAAUACAGCAUCUCUUUUAUCGUUUCCUGCAGGCAAAUAGAAACUGCUAAUUCCUCGUGUUUUUGACAUGUUGCCUGAUAUAAUACACUAGAAAAAAACUGAGAUUAAAAUAUCACCUGAACAAUUAGAACAGGGCUGUCAAACAUGCGGUCUGCGGGCCAAAACCGGCCCUCCAGUGGGUCCGAUCCGGCCCACUUUGUAAAGUGUAAAAAUGACAGAGAAGACAUGAACUGUAGAUUGUAAAUUGGUGAAACUAUAAAUGACAAGUUGUUUUGAUCAUAAAGUAAAAUACUACGGUAGAUUGUUCAUUGUCCUUUUGUUGUUUUGUGCCUCGUUUUGUAAUAUUUUUGGUUUUUGUCUUUUGUCGUCUCAUGUUUUUGCCACUCUGUUUCUCACUUUUGUUGUUUUGUGUUUCCUUUUUGUCUCGCUUGUGUUUUUUGUCAUAUUUUUGUCAUUUUGUGUUUUGCUUUAUUCAUGGUUUUGUGUAUCAUUUUUGUGUUUUUUUUGUCUCACUUAUGUUGUCUAUUUUUUUGUUGUUUUGUUUCUUACUUUUGUCAUUUUCUGUCAAAUUUUUGGUGUUUGUCCAUUUUUUUGUUGCAUUGUAACUUUUUUGUCUAAUUUUUUGUCUUGUUUUGUUUUGCAUCAUUUGUCUCAUUUUUUGUCAUUUUGUUACUCGUUUUUGUCAUUUUGUGUCUCAUUUUUGCAAUAUUUUGUCGUCUGUUCUUUUUGGACUUUUUUGUCUGACUUUUGUCGUUUUGAUCAUAAAGUAAAAUACUACACUGGUCAAAAAAAUUAAAGGAACACUUUUUAAUCUAAGUAUUGCAUCAAGACAGUUAAACUUCUGGGAUACUGAUCUGGUCAAGUAAGUAAAAGAGGUGGUUUUUAGUCAGUUUCAGCUGCUUUGGUGUUCAUGAAAUGAACUGGUGCUCUGUGCUUUUCACAGAUGAGAGCAGGUUCAUCAUGAGCACAUGUGACAGACAUGAAAGGGUCUGGAGAAGCUGUGCAGAUCGUUCUGCUGCCUGUAGUAUUGUUCAGCAUGACCGGUUUGGUGAUGAGUCAGUGAUGGUCUGGGGAGACAUGUCCAUGGAGGGACACACAGACCUCUACAGGCUGGACAGCAGCACUCUGACUGCCAUUAG
ensembl:lncRNA